ACGCCUUCGCCUUCGCACGCCGCCGACCUCCCAGAGGAGACGCCGCCACGACCUGCGCUAAACCCUAGGCAUCAACCACCGUGCUCCCGUCCUCCGGUUCCUCCUGCGUUCGCCACCAUGCGAUCGCCUUCCUCCCUCAGGUUCUUGUACGGAACAUACCACCAAACCCCGAUGAAUCAGUUAGCAAGCCUAUGGAACAUUUCUUCCUUGUCAAUCAUCCUGAUCAUCAUCUGAAACAUCAGGUAAUCACUAAAUUUUGGAACAUCUCCCAUUUGAAGAAUCAUCUGCAAAUUCAAAUGUAAGGAAGUGUGCAGUGCAAGCAAUUAUCAGGUGUUGGCUGCCCAGGAAGAAGGAAAGGUCAGUCCAGACAUGACAUUUAACUCUAAUAAUGGAGGUACGUAGUGCCUACUGCUCCCUUGUCCCUUGCUACCGGCUGGGGAUGCUCGGCGGGCAGUCCCUGCUCUCAUUUUCC